ensembl:lncRNA
UUUUUUUUUUUGGGGGGGGACAAGGUCUCGCUCCAUUGCCCAGGUUGGAGUGCAGUGGUGCAAUCAUAGCUCACUGCGACCUCUAACUCCUGGGCUCAAGCGAUCCUCUAGAACAGUUAGGUGCUCAGCACCACACCAGCUAAUUUUUAAAUUUUAAACAUUUUUUUCUCUAGGUGGGGUCUCCCUAUGUUGCCCAGGCUGGUCCCAAACUCCUGGCCUCAAGCAAUCUUCCCAUCUUGGCCUCCCAAGGUGCUGGGAUUGCAGGUGUGAGCCAUCGUGCCCAGCCCAGAAUUUUUAUUCAGGUCUUCACCAAGUAACCCAUUGCAUUCAGGGUGAUGUCAAUCCAGCCGGUCAGGCCACAGCAACAUCAAGGCAAAUGCUGGCAGCAUUUGAAACCAUUCAAGGGGCUGCGUGUAUUGCAGCAGGACCAUUCACCAUGAUCUCUGGUUUGAUGGCAUAGGUGGGUUUUCUUUUUUUUUUUAUACUUUAAGGUGUAGGGUACAUGUGCACAGCGUGCAGGUUUGUUACAUAGGUAGAAAUGUGCCAUGCUGGUGUGCUGCACCCAUCAACUCAUCAUUUACAGUAGGUGUAUCUCCUAAUGCUAUCCCUCCCCCAGCCCCCCAGCCCCCUACAGGCCCCGGUGUGUGAUGUUCCCACCCUGUGUCCAAGUGUCCUCAUUGUUCAGUUCCCAGGCAUAGGUGGGUUUUCAAUGUCAUCUGGAUCUUUCGGGAUGCUACCUGCAGCAUAGGUAGAAGAAAGACCACGUGGCCUAUCAAGUCAUCACAAGCACAGGGGCAGGACUCCGGGAGGCAGCAUGGCAUCGUGGCAAAGGGUGCCAGGCUCUGGUGUUCACUCUCCGCGAUGACUUUGAGAAAGUACAUAACCCCUCCAGGCCUCUGUUUCCUCAUCUGUAAAACUGCGAUAGUAAUAUUCCAUUCCUUGUAGGUGUUUAUAAGGACUGAAUAUAGAACGAUGCCUCGCACAUGGUAAGACCUCAAUAAUACUCACUGGGUUUUUUUGUUUGUUUUGUUUUGUAGUUUUUGAGACGGAGUCUCACACUGUUGCCUGGGCUGGAGUGCACCUGGGUGACAAAACAGGACGAGAGAGAGAGAGAGAGAGAGAGAGAGAGAGAGGAAAAAUGAUGCAACCACUGUGGAAAACAGUAUGGUGGUUUCUGUAAAAAUUAAAAAUAGGCCAGGCGCAGUGGCUCAAGCUUUUAAUCCCAGCACUUUGGGAGGUCGAGGUGGGCGGAUCACUUGAGGUCAGGAGUUCAAGACCAGCCUGGCCAACAUGUGAAACCCUGGCUCUACUAAAAAAUACAAAAAUUAGCUGGGUGUGGUGGCACAUGCCUAUAGUCCCAGCUACCUGGGAGGCCAAGGCACAAGAAUUGCUUGAACCUGGGAGGUGGAGGCUGCAGUGUGCCAAGAUGUGCCACUGCACUCCCACCUGGGCAACAGAGUGAGACUCCAUCUCAAAAAAUAAUAAAUAAAUAAGUGCAAGUCUAAAAAACAAUUAAAAAUAGAAUUAUCACAUGAUCCAGCAAUUCUUCUUCUGAGUUAUAUAUACACAAAAAAGUGAAAGCAGAUGUAUUAGUCUGUUCUCACGCUGCUAAUAAAGACACACCUGAGACUGGGUAAUUUAUAAAGGAAAGAGAUUUAAUUGACUCACAGUUCCACAUGGCUGGAGAGGCCUCACAGUCAUGGCAGAAAC